ensembl:rRNA 5S_rRNA 5S ribosomal RNA
GUCUCUGGCCAUAUCACCCUUAACACGCCCGAUCUCCUCUGAUCUCAGAAGCUAAGCAGGGUCGGGCUUGGUUAAUACUUGGAUGGGAGACUGCCUGGGAAUACCGGCUGCAGUAGGCU